AUUGAACGCUGGCGGCAGGCCUAACACAUGCAAGUCGAACGAGUGGCGGACGGGUGAGUAAUGUCUGGGAAACUGCCAGAUGGAGGGGGAUAACUACUGGAAACGGUAGCUAAUACCGCAUACCAUCGGAGGUGCACAGAUGGGCUUAGCUAGUAGGUGGGGGAACGGCUCACCUAGGCGACGAUCCAUAGCUGGUCUGAGAGGAAGACCAGCCACACUGGAACUGAUAUACUGUCCAGACUCCUCCGGGAGGCAGCAGUGGGGAAUCUUGCACGAUGGGCGCAAGCCUGAUGCAGCCAUGCCGCGUGUAUGAAGAAGUCCUUCGGGUUGUAAAGUACUUUCAGCGAGGAGGCGUUACUCGCAGAAGAAGCACCGGCUAACUCCGUGCCAGCCGCCGCGGUAAUUC
rnacentral:rRNA from 1 species